rnacentral:lncRNA from 1 species
AUGAAGCUUAGCUCUCACUGGGGCCUUCAAUUUGUAUCCUUGCUCAACACAGUAGGGUGGUGCAUUCUAGGCACUCUUUUCUAUUCCUUGAUAGAAUACUCCCUGGAAGCCUCCAGUAUCAACCAGACUAUGGAAAAGCUUAAUGAAAUAAUGCACAAAAGACUCAUAAGCAUCAGUGAAAUCUCUCAAGUAACCAAGCACCUUAUUUAUGAAAGAGCUCAGAUACUAUUACUUCUUAAGCCUUCGUCUGGAGGAAUCCAUCAAUGUCCUUUUUCAAACUCUAAAAACACUCUCCAAAGAAGAAAGGCUAACUCUGUUCUGUGA